AUUAACUGGGCAUCUUGUUAAAAUGCAGAUUCUAAUUCCAUUCGCCUGGAAUUCUGCAUUUCCAACAAGUUCCCAGGUGAUGCUGA
rnacentral:pre_miRNA from 1 species